UACGUAGGGGGCAAGCGUUGUCCGGAUUCAUUGGGCGUAAAGCGCGGGCAGGCGGCCCGCUCAGUCGGCCGUGAAAGCGCCGGGCUCAACUCGGCGAGGUCGGGCGAUACUGGCGGGCUCGAGGCUGGUAGAGGGCGGUGGAAUUCCGGGUGUAGUGGUGGAAUGCGUAGAGCUCCGGAGGAACACCAGUGGCGAAGGCGGCUUCCUGGACCGACACUGACGCUGAGGUGCGAAAGCGUGGGGAGCAAACAGG
rnacentral:rRNA from 1 species